AGUGAACGCUGGCGGCAGGCCUAAUACAUGCAAGUCGAACGGCAGCACAGCAGAGCUUGCUCUGUGGGUGGCGAGUGGCGGACGGGUGAGGAAUACAUGGGAAUCUGCCCAGUCGUGGGGGAUAACGUAUGGAAACGUACGCUAAUACCGCAUGCGCCCUAAGGGGGAAAGCCGGGGACCGCAAGGCCUGGCGCGAUUGGAUGAGCCCAUGUUCGAUUAGCUAGUUGGCGGGGUAAAGGCCCACCAAGGCGACGAUCGAUAGCUGGUCUGAGAGGAUGAUCAGCCACACUGGAACUGAGACACGGUCCAGACUCCUACGGGAGGCAGCAGUAGGGAAUAUUGGACAAUGGGGGCAACCCUGAUCCAGCCAUGCCGCGUGAGUGAAGAAGGCCCUCGGGUUGUAAAGCUCUUUUGUCCGGAAAGAAAAGCAAUCGGUUAAUACCCGGUUGUCCUGACGGUACCCAAAGAAUAAGCACCGGCUAACUUCGUGCC
rnacentral:rRNA from 1 species